ACUUUAAAACUAUUUUAAAUAUUUCUAUUAUGCUUUAAUGUGCAUUUUAUAUUGUAAUAUGGCUAAUCUGAGGUUUUAGAAAUAUAAACAUUUCUACUUCCAUUAUUGAAGCAUGGUGGAGUUGGGUCCUCAUGUCAAUAUUAACAAUUGAUAGUGUCUUCUAGUCUAUUUUUAAGAUAGUUUUUAAACAGUAAUAUUUCAUGGUUUUUGCUAUUUUCAUAUAUUCAUUGCUACUAAGGGUUAUCAGUUUAUGUUUUGUACCUAUGUUACAGUUCCUUCAUAUAUAAGAGCCAAUCAUCUGAACAAUAGAACAUGAACAAGGUUACAUAAAAGGCAAGCAGUUCUGUAAAAUCAGUGGAAAAGACAAAUUAUCUAGAUAUAAAUAUGGAAAUCGGGACACGUUUACAUUUUCAUUUGAUUUUAACACAUUAAUUUGGGGGCACAUUACCAAAUUUGUUUUAUUUGAAAUACAUAGACUGAAUAGAUGUAUACAGACAGACAUACAGACAUUUAACAAAUAUACCUACCUAACAAUGUCCACAAUAAUGUAUUUUUCAAUAAAAUCUAUUUAACCUAGUGGUUCUAUGUUAUCAUUACUUGAAGAAGAUUCUCAUCAAGUAUGGAUUCAUGGGAUUGUUUUCAGAUAACAUCUACAAAUAUCGAGCUAAGAAUAAGUAAAUAUGGACCCGAGGGGCCUUCUGAGUGUGUUUGAGCCAUUGACUUAGGCCGUUCUCUCUUGACCCAAAGUCCCCUCUGCAAUGGCGACUCAGUGGCACGGCAUCCAGCAGCUACUGCAGGUUGAGAAGCGGGCUGCCAAGGUGUCUGAGACCCGCAAGCGAAAGAACCUGAGGCUGAAGCAGGCCAAAGAAGAAGCCCAGGCUGAAAUUGAGCAGUAUAUCCUGCGGAGGGAAAGGGAGUUCAAGACAAAGGAAGCUGCGGCACUGGGGUCCCAUGGCGGCUAUAGCAGUGAGGUGAAAAAAGGAGACCAUCCUCUAGAACUACUUCGAGCAGAACAGGGAUGAAGUCCUGGAUGACCUCUUGGCCUUUGUGUGUGACAUUCUACCAGAAAUCCAGGAAAACUUCCGCAUAAACGGAUAGGAGGCAGAGGUGCCUUCCUUCUCUGUGGGUUGACAUGGGAUCUAGCCCCAUAGAAUAGGAAACCUGCACAGAGCCCAAGUUCUGUUCUGGAAGGCAUUAAAUUAUUUCUCUAUGCUGUUGUAAGAUCCUUCUCUUUAUGAAAGUAUCAAAUAUAGCUUUGUGUACAGACUUAUUACAUACCUGGUUUCAUCUUCUUAUCUUAUGUGUCUUUAAGGAGUAUAUGUCACCUGUUUUCCUGUGUCUUCAUGCAAGUAAUGGAAAUCAAUGUUGACUUUUAUUUUAUUAGUCCAGUCUAAUAAAUUUACUCCUUUUCUUGCUUUUGAAGAAAGAACAGGAGUAAAUUGUUCUACUUUUUUAAAGGUCAGGCAUUAUCUAUGAAAAAUAGCUAUUAGUAACUCCUAUGAAGAAGCAGUCAGCCUUUCAGUACUCUAUCCUGGGUAAUUUAGGACACUGAAUAUGAUAUACCUGUUCUGGCUGCAGUUAGUAUAUCCUAACCCAAAUCAUUAGAUGCUAGGACUUAACUUGUUACAUGUUAUUUGGUCUGCUUGAAAUCAUUUAAAAGUAAAACUUUGUCUUGCCUUUCAAAAAAGGAAUAAAUAAAUAUAAUAUGAUGAAAAUAAUCUUUCCAUAAUAUUCUAUAAUAUUUUGUUCAUUUCUGAUAUUUUUGCUUCUAAACCUUAUUAUCUCAAAAUAUAUAUUUGGAUUUCACACAAAGGAAUCUUCAUGCCUGGGUUAGUAAAAGAAUUUAUUUGUAGAUGUGAGCUGAAAGUGAAAGCUACUCACUGUCAUUAUUGACUCUUACAGUUUUCCAGCCC
rnacentral:lncRNA from 1 species